GAUGAACGCUGGCGGCGUGCCUAAUACGUGCAAGUCGAGCGAACGGACGAGAAGCUUGCUUCUCUGAUGUUAGCGGCGGACGGGUGAGUAACACGUGGAUAACCUACCUAUAAGACUGGGAUAACUUCGGGAAACCGGAGCUAAUACCGGAUGAUAUUUUGAACCGCAUGGUUCAAAAGUGAAAGACGGUCUUGCUGUCACUUAUAGAUGGAUCCGCGCUGCAUUAGCUAGUUGGUAAGGUAACGGCUUACCAAGGCAACGAUGCAUAGCCGACCUGAGAGGGUGAUCGGCCACACUGGAACUGAGACACGGUCCAGACUCCUACGGGAGGCAGCAGUAGGGAAUCUUCCGCAAUGGGCGAAAGCCUGACGGAGCAACGCCGCGUGAGUGAUGAAGGUCUUCGGAUCGUAAAACUCUGUUAUUAGGGAAGAACAUAUGUGUAAGUAACUGUGCAUAUCUUGACGGUACCUAAUCAGAAAGCCACGGCUAACUACGUG
rnacentral:rRNA from 1 species